rnacentral:lncRNA from 1 species
UGUAAUAGACAUUGAUAUUUAAUAAAAUAGAUUUUUUGAUUUAUUAAAUGCUGCAUCUUAUUAUUAUUUUUAAGAUUGUAAUGAACUCCAUAGGUCUGGACAAUAAUUUUAGGAUCAUGAUGAGAUCACGUCAGUGAAACCUAAAUCCUUGAUAGACAUGACCUAAAAUAUUCUCAAUCAUUGGUAUAUUAAGUCAGAGAUCAAUGAUACC